GAAUGACAGAAGUUGAAGAUGAAGGCUACACAGAAAAUUUAUUUAUGUUUUGUUUGUGCUUAGACCCGCUUAGUUAAACAGUGUUACCAAAGAGAUUUUGCCCAGUCAUGUUACCCAGUUACCAGCACAAAAACACCCAAAGAGAAUACUGUUAGCCAAAAAGAGCCCGUAAGAUGUGGGAAGUGCUCUUUCAAAGGAUUUUAUGGUUAAGAACAUUACAAUACUAAAACUGGGACAUUAUGGUUCAUCGGUCUCAGUUUGACCUAUUUCUUCCUCCCACUUAGAGAGAAUAGUUAUAUAUGUCCUACUACAUUAUAAGCAAACAACCGAGACGGGGAGGUGCUUUACUUUUUUUUCCAACGUAAGAAAUCAAAACAGUGCAUCACCAUGAGCAUCUUUAUAAAAGCUCUAAACCUUGCAGCAACACUGUGAGCACAUUAAAUAGAUAAGAAAACUGCUAUGGAUGAUGUUUUUUAUAUAUUCAUUUUUCAGAUAAAUAUUCAGCACCCUAAAUAAAACUUAGGUAAGGAGUCUUUUAAUCAUUUUUAAAGGCUUGAAGAGCAGUCCCUAUAUGACAUCCACUGAUACUCUCUGCUCAUGAUAUCAAACACCCAGCACUGAAGGAUGAAGCUGCCUUUCAGAAAAGAUGGCAAAUCCACUUUCUGCUCCAAAUUACACAGGUCAUUUCGGAUCCUUGGAACCAGGGAGCAACCAAGCUUUGAGCCAUAGUCUUUUCAGAUUCGGGUGAAUGGUUUGGCCUGUGUCCUGGGAAAAGAGACGAGGCAGGCGAGGAACAGUGCCACGUUUCCACACUAACAUUUGGAGCAGGAGUAUAGAUGACCAAGGACUUCAGUGUUGCCCUUGAGUCCUUGAGCCUGUGCAGAUACUCAUCUGUCUCAGCCGCAAAGAGUUUAGGCCUGUCAAAUGACAGAUCGUCCACAAUCGAUCGCACCUCGCUCAGGAAACAAAAGAGAGGCAACCAAGAAGCUCAUCUCAUAACUAUUGCAGUAUCUGUAGAUUGCGCAGCAAUAUCUGCUGAGUCCAGAGCAGCAUGUAAUGCCAUCCUGGAGAUCAGUUGUCCCUCGGAGAUGAGCGCUCUGAACUGUUCUUUUUUCUCCUCCAGGAGGAAUUCAAUAAAUUUGGAGAACUUCCCAUAGUUUGUGUGGUCUUAUUUUGCCAGCGUUGCUUUCUAAUUGCUGAUCCGAAGGUGGUGUGUCGCGGAGGAGUAGGCCUUUCAGCCAAAGAGGUAGAACCUCUUCCAAUCUUUG